rnacentral:tRNA from 1 species
UGGCUCAGUCAGUUGAGCGUCUGACUUCAGCUCAGGUCAUGAUGUGGGUUCAAGCCCCAC